rnacentral:piRNA from 1 species
UAUCAAAGAAGAGGAGACCUACCGAGAG